rnacentral:rRNA from 1 species
UACGUAGGGGGCAAGCGUUGUCCGGAUUCAUUGGGCGUAAAGAGCGUGUAGGCGGCCAGGUAGGUCGGUUGUGAAAACUGGAGGCUCAACCUUCAGAGGUCGACCGAAACCAUCUGGCUAGAGUCCGGGAGAGGAGAGUGGAAUUCCUGGUGUAGCGGUGAAAUGCGCAGAUAUCAGGAAGAACACCCGUGGCGAAGGCGGCUCUCUGGGACGGUACUGACGCUGAGACGCGUAAGCGUGGGGAGCGAACAGG